GACGAACGCUGGCGGCGUGCUUAACACAUGCAAGUCGAGCGGUAAGGCCCUUUCGGGGGUACACGAGCGGCGAACGGGUGAGUAACACGUGGGUGACCUGCCCUCAGCUCUGGGAUAAGCCCGGGAAACUGGGUCUAAUACCGGAUAUGACUCCAUGACGCAUGUUGUGGGGUGGAAAGCCUUGUGCGGCUGAGGAUGGGCCCGCGGCCUAUCAGCUCGUUGGUGGGGUGAUGGCCUACCAAGGCGACGACGGGUAGCCGGCCUGAGAGGGCGACCGGCCACACUGGGACUGAGACACGGCCCAGACUCCUACGGGAGGCAGCAGUGGGGAAUCUUGCGCAAUGGGCGAAAGCCUGACGCAGCGACGCCGCGUGAGGGAUGACGGCCU
rnacentral:rRNA from 1 species